UCGGGAAUUUUGGGCAAUGGGCGAAAGCCUGACCCAGCAACGCCGCGUGAGGGAUGAAGUAUUUCGGUAUGUAAACUUCGAAAGAAUAGGAAGAAUUAAUGACGGUACUAUUUAUAAGGUCCGGCUAACUACGUGCCAGCAGCCGCGGUAAUACGUAGGGACCAAGCGUUGUUCGGAUUUACUGGGCGUAAAGGGCGCGUAGGCGGCAAUUCAAGUCAGCUGUGAAAUCUCUGGGCUUAACCCGGAACGGCCAGCUGAUACUGCUUUGCUAGAGUGCGGAAGGGGCAAUCGGAAUUCUUGGUGUAGCGGUAAAAUGCGUAGAUAUCAAGAGGAACACCUGAGGUGAAGACGGGUUGCUGGGCCGACACUGACGCUGAGGCGCGAAAGCCAGGGGAGCAAACG
rnacentral:rRNA from 1 species